ensembl:miRNA
UGGUUUACUUACUACAAGUCCCAAGAUGCAUUGCACUUUUUGCUUAACUUCAGAUUAGAGCAUUGCAUGCUGGGGCCUGUAGUUGAUUUCAACAGCA